rnacentral:rRNA from 1 species
AUUGAACGCUGGCGGCAGGCUUAACACAUGCAAGUCGAGCGGGGGAAGGUAGCUUGCUACCGGACCUAGCGGCGGACGGGUGAGUAAUGCUUAGGAAUCUGCCUAUUAGUGGGGGACAACAUCUCGAAAGGGAUGCUAAUACCGCAUACGUCCUACGGGAGAAAGCAGGGGAUCUUCGGACCUUGCGCUAAUAGAUGAGCCUAGGUGGGAUUAGGUAGUUGGUGGGGUAAAGGCCUACCAAGGCGACGAUCUGAAGCGGGUCUGAGAGGAUGUUCCGCCACAGUGGGACGGAGACACGGCGCAGAAUCCUCCGGGAGGCAGCAGUGGGGAAUAUUGGACAAUGGGGGGAAGCCUGAUCCAGCCAUGCCGCGUGUGGAAAGAAGGCCUGAUGGUUGUAAAGCACUUUAAGCGAGGAGGAGGCUACUUGAGUUAAUACCUGGAGAUAGUGGACGUUACUCGCAGAAUAAGCACCGGCUAACUCUGGGCCAGCCGCCGCCGUAA